CAACUUGAGGGUAAGGAAAUGAUUACAGGAAUUUUCAGUUUUCGGGUGAAUUGUCCCUUUAAUGUAACGGUGAAGAUAUGUAGUGAUGGAGCGUAAUGAAACAUUAAAGCAGAUGGAACGCGCACGCACUUUAUUGGCUGAACAACUGUUUGAUAUAAAUUCAAUAAGACAGCAGGUGACCUGUUUCAUAAAGACUAGAUUUGCAUAGAAGAUUAGAGCCGAAAUGAAAUAACAAAUCAGUGCUUAAUUUAAAUAAUCUGUUUUGUGAAACACAUAAGAAGAGUGCAUUACAGAUUAAGUUUACCUGCAAUAUACAGUAGCAGACAGUCUCCAGUCAUUCAGAAAGGAAAAAUAGUCACACUUUACAGAUGCAUUAACAUGAAAUAAAUAAUAAAGAAUAUGUUUUUACAGCAUUUGUUGCCAGAUUGGCUAGAUUUUAAUCUUUAAAGGGGUGAAAUGACAAUAUUAUCAUUUGUUUUAGAUGUAAUGCAAUGUGUAUACACGAUUUAAGGUUAAAAAACGCUGUUUUUUCCACACACCGAUCAUGUUUGAAUGCUUUGCAGAUUUUUUUACAAAGCCCAUCGCACUGAAAAGCGAGGUGUGCUAUAAUUGGCCUGAUAACCGGUGCAUAGUGAUUGGUCGUAUACUGCAAACGUGUGAUGGAAAUGUAACGGCCUCUUACCAUAUUUGGAACAUCAGGUUCCAGAGCAAUUGUACUGUAAGGUACGCCCGCCUCACUUGCGCAUACAUUUGGUCGAUCUCAGUCAAAUCAUACCAUGAACUGACUUAGAUUUGUGUGGGUGUGGUUAAACGAGGUGUUUCAGACAGGUCUGGGUGAGCAUUCGCUUUUCGAUAGACUGCAUCUUAUUUCCAACACGUAUUUUUGCAAUUUUACGUGUCUAAUACACACAUGGGCAGCUUAUAACACACCACACAGAAAAAAACGUAUUCGCUCCAUAUGACCCCUUUAAGAAACUGAAAUGCUGUCUUAAAUUUUGCCUGGAGAUCAAUUCUUAAUAGAGUUGUGAUGUGAUACUAGCCAGUUGCCACUUCCUCUCAUGAUCACAGUGAAGUGCUUCACUACAGGAGGAAACUGGGAUUCAUCACUGGUUUAAUCAAUAGAACAGUAAUCUGCGAAUCCAGCAGUCAGUCUCGCUGCUCUCUGGUGUGUUACGGCUAAACCAAUAUGCUAAAUAAACUAAGCAACACUGACAAGACCAUCUAUAUCCCUAAGUCCCAGCUGUGGCUUGUAGCUUUUAGCCUAAACAUCACAUUCAUGAAAACACAAAGGCAUCCUGGACCUGCUCAGAAGGGGUGGAGUUAGCUGUUUUAUUGUGGUUUUAUUGCUCUAUAUGACAGUGACAUUAAAGACGAGGGCUGUUAAUGUCCAGAUAGAAACACUAAUAAGGUGGCACAGAUGCUCCCCAGCUCCUCACAUGCUCUCCCAGUGGGGCUGAAAGGUCUUACCGUGGUAAUGUAUCCUGUAUCCAUCAGCACUGCUUGGAGACGUCUCUCAAGACAGAGCGGAGCGUUGCCCCGGUGACGCAACCGACGGGUCUGAUUGGGCGUUGGCUCCUCUUGCUCUGCUGAGAUAAGUGCAUUUCAGUUUGGGUGGAGAGAGAAGUGGGUGGGGUGUUCUGAGCAGCGUGCCGAGAGCGAGAGAGACACUGAGAACUGAGGAGAACAGGAGAAAGAUGACAGGAAGUCUGGAUCUGUCAGAAUAGGAUUUCCUCUUCGUCACAGAACUGGAGCCAAGCUGAAAUCCUGAACUGUAUAGCUGGAAUAACGAAAGCCUUGGUUUAUAGUUUGCUCCAGCCAUGCAGAAGACAGGGACGGCCCCGUCUUCCCGGGGUCCUAGUACACCUAGCUCUCCAGCCACCUCUAUUGUGGCAAGAAUGGACAAUCAGGUUAUUGGAUAUAAGGACUUGGCAGCCAUUCCCAAAGACAAAGCUAUACUUGAGGUGGAACGGCCUGAUCUGAUGGUGUACGAGCCACAUUUCAAUAUCUCAGCCCUGGAUCUGCUCUCGAGAAGCAGAGAGAGAUCAAUGUCACCUCAUUCAAUCUCGCCUCCUCCUUCCCCUGAGAUAUUUGCUUCAAAAGAGUCCAAGGAACCGUCAGAGCAUGGGUCUCCAGGAGGGUCCAACAUGGGCUCCACGGCGCAGCCUCGCAAGAUAAGUCCCGCCUCCAAAGGCCCCAUGCAGCAUUUCCACAGGCCAGACAUUGGCAUGAACAUCUAUAAGAAGCCUCCAAAUUACAAGCAUGACACACAUACCGGAGCGUCCCAUAAUAAACAUGGCAGCAUCAUCGAGUCGUCCAAAUUCCCAGCAGCCCAACCUCCUGAUCCCAACCUGCCCUCAAAGAUAGAAACUGAGUACUGGCCGUGUCCACCUUCUCUAGCUUCUAUGGAAAUCGAAUGGAGGAAGAAAGCAGUCGAGCAGGGAAAAUCAAUCGAGGAAGAGGACUUUGAGGACCUGACAGAAGAAGCAAAGAAACUCCAGGAGCAGGAACUUCAUAAGAUACAGUCCAACAUGGGCAAAAUAAUCCUGAAGGAGGAACUCGAGAAAUCAGUGCUCAUCCGCAGAAAAACACGUUCACUUCCAGAUGGGACCAACAUAAACUUGGGUUCAUCAGCCAGUGCGACUAAAUCAGCAUCUUUACCUCCGUGCAGUCGAACAGGCCUCACAAGGCUGCAGUCAGCAGACUUCACCUUGACAGACAAUGGAAAAGCAAAAACAGGUAAGAUUAAAAUGUUCUCGUUUAUAAAAGUCAAAGUCUUCCCACAUACAUUUAAGAAUAUACGACCAAAAUAAUUUUCUACUUUAAAACACAUUACUAUGUCUUUUUUUUGGAUGUUCUGCAGGCAUACAGGUAAGAUGCUUUUGCUUAUUUCAUUUAACAAGCAUGGCUGUUUGAUCCUAAUAUGACAACAGAUAGUUCUGUUAUAAGCCUUUUAUAUAGAAACCACACCCUUUCCUGUUUGCCACUUCCUGCUAAUGUAUCUUUGCCCUGAGUGGCAGAUAAUAGCUUACCCUCCCUUGUUUCAUGGCUUUCGACUCAUUUGAUUUCCACACGCUGUUUGCAUAUGUAUUCAUAAUGAGUAAAAUUAUUAAUAAUGAAUCAAAUGACUUUCAUUAUUAUGGAUGCAAUGGAGGCCCCUCUCUUUAAAUGUACUGUCUCCUUUGUCCCCGUGGGGAUUUUUUGGGACUGGGGUUAUGUCUGUUCAUAGAACGGUGUAACAGAGAGUGGCCGAAUGGACCGAGGAAACUCUCUUCCUAGUAUUCUGGAGCAGAAGGUGAGGUAGAUGUAGUGACGUGAUUCUGUUACUCUCACAAUUAAAGCUCCUCCAAAGUUUUCAUGCUCUCACCGUUCUAACCCCAUGUCAUACAUGCCCUCAUAUUCCAUAUUGCUUCAAAGCCUUGCAUCCAUUGAAUGUAGAAUCAAGCAAUGUCACUAAAAUGUACAUGGAAACUCUGGAGGUAGAAUUUGUUGUGUUUAGUUUCAAGUAUUCUUCCGUAAGCAUGGAAUUGAUGUGAGCGCAGCUGGGCAAUUCCAAGGUUACGGAUGUGACUCUUUCAAUCAAAACUGGAAAUGUAAAUACUCAGAGAAUAUAUUUAUUACCAAUAUACCCAAUCGUCUGUAUAUGUUUUUCUAAACCCCCGAUGAUAGAGUCCACACAUCCGAAAAAUAUCAGUCCAAAAAGGAUUUUUCUAUUUUACAAGAGUGAAAACGCUUUAUGUAUGUGACAAAAAAAAUAUGUUUUUGAGCGAAAACAUACAUUUUUAGGAUUUCUGUCAAUUAAAAUGCACAAACCAGAAGCAAUAAUACCAAACAAAUAACCAAGGGAUGUCUCUUCAGAGAACACAAAACAUGUGCCCAUUUAUGAGGAAUAUGGACCGUUAUGGAUGUGACAAAGACUAACUUGACUAUGUACAAUCAUGCUUUAAAAACAAAAUGAAAAGUGCUUUACACAUGGGUGUUUUAACUACCAAAUAUGGACCUAUCAGUAUGGUGAAAACCUUUGGUUGAAACUUUAAGGUUGACAUUUGCAUGGAAUUGCCCAGCUUGUUUUUAGUGUCUAGUGUCAUGCACAACAAAACAAUACAUGAUUUUGCAUACGAUGACCCUAAAACAUAACAAAAUGUUGUCUCUGACUUCAGAUAUAUCCUUAUGAAAUGCUGAUAGUGACCCACAGAGGGCGCAGUAAGCUUCCACCAGGUGUUGACAGGACCAGAUUAGAGAGACAUCUGUCUCCAGAGGAAUUCCAGAACUUAUUCGGAAUGUCCAUCUCAGAAUUCGAUCGUCUGUC